rnacentral:misc_RNA from 1 species
AAGAAUUUAAAGAGUGCACUUCAUUGUGGCUCGACAUUUUCUACCAUUCACCCUAGUGCACCGUAAUACCUUUUUUUAUUAGACUCUACAGAGUUAAUGAAUGUAACACUUUUUUAUAAAGAAAUA